rnacentral:lncRNA from 1 species
CCACCCCAAUAAAGUAGGCCUCAUUAACUCGAUCAUCAACAAGUUGCAUCUAUUGCUUACUUGGUGCCAUAACCUUGGAUUAUAUAUAAGAGUUAGAUCAAUCAUACUUUAGGAUAACAAAUUUACUAAGAUGACCAUUACUUUCUAUUAAACUAGUCAAAUCAUCCUAAUAAUUAAAAAAUAAAUAUCUAAAAUUGACUAAUAACAGCUUUUCUUUUAAUUGAAUAUGUGCUGCUAUAUAUAAUAAAACUAAAAGGUCUUAACAGAUGCGACAUCCUAAACCUACUAGUGAACUUCAAAUAAAGACGAUAGGUUUAACUCGCAGACAUCCACGUGGAUGUCGCAUAAUAUAGUUCAGAACACUACACACUGCGAGUUAAACUAUAUUAUGCGACAUCCACGUGAACUAAUGACCUUUUUCAUGUUUCACAAAGCUAAACUUAUCAACAACUUCUCCAACAAUUUUUUCUAUCAAACUACACGAGGAUCCAAACAAUUUCAAUAAAACAUAUAGCAUCUAAUUGAAAACAACAACCACCAAAACAACAAUGACAAACAACCACAAAUUUCCAUGUAGCUUAAGAUUUCAAAAAUGCGCCACAAGUAGUAACUUUAGAAACCAAUAUGCAGCACUAGUUGUAGUAGAAAAUAACAAUUAAAACAACAUUUGAACCACCAAAUAAAGGAAACUACAAUCAAAUGCUUUAUCAAUGCUCAUUCACAAUUUCGUUUCUUUCUCGUCUAAUCUUUUUAGUGUCACAUUAUACUUAAAAAUUGAAUACAAUAGUUAUACAAUAAAAAAAACCAUUCAAAUUCAAAGCACAUAAACUGGGAACUGAAUUAAAGACACUAAUGGUAAAAAUAUUCUACAUAUUCAUCACCUGAAGAAUUUUUUUUUUUGCAAUGCCAGCCUUACCAAAAUUUCUUGGCAGCCCUAGCAAUUAUACAACCCUAACAGAGAAAAUCUUAAAUAAACUCUCAAAUAUCUCCUCUUUGAACCUCAACACAAGCCUUACCUAUAAAACUAUCAUUUUCAGUCCUUACACAAUAACAAUGAGUAUCUAUAAGAUCCCAAUCACAUAAAAUUCGACCAGCAGAAAGAAAAAUGGCAGAUUUACAGAAAAAGAAAAAGGAGGAGAUGAAUCAGGAGGAAUAAACUUACUUUAGAUGUAGAUACAAGUUGUAGGUGAAACGUUUUUCUUCCAAUAAUGCUUUCAAGCUUCAAGAUUUAGGAGAUUUUUCUGCCAAUAAUGCCUUCAAGAUUCAAGAGUAAGGAGACUUCAGAGCUAUGCACAGCGAUUUUGGCAUAUUGCUAGAGAGAGAAAGAAAAAUCUAA